GGAGCGGAAGGAAGGGCUUCUCUGGAGAGGGAUCUGGUUUUCCGGGGAUGCUCCAGGCCUCUGGACUUAGGGGUUUGGAGACCGUGCGGAGGUGUCUUCGCUCUUUCGUGCCGCCCCUCAAGCCUCUUAAUUUAGGGAUGGACACGAAAUGGUUGAAAACCAUUCGUGAUAAUAUAAACGGGCCUGUAAACGUUAGCUGUGUGGGAGGUUACGGACCCCGGCAGGAGCGCCCACCGAAAUCCUGUCCCCAGCUGAAGCAACACGACCCGCAUCAGUUUACUUUCCAGUUUGCCUAAUUUCUAGAGGUUGAAAUUGAGGAUAGGAAAGUACGAGGUGGAGGUGGUGGGCCAGAAUCAAACCCAAAAUAGACGUUGUCAGGCCUCUGAGCCCAAGCUAAGCCAUCAUAUCCCCUAUGACCUGCACGUAUACAUCCAGAUGGCCUGAGGCAACUGAAGAGCCACAAAAGAAGUGAAAAUAGCCUUAACUGAUGACAUUCCACCAUUGUGAUUUGUUCCUGCCCCACCCUAACUGACAGGAUAUAUUCUCCCCCUUGCCCUUAAGUAGGUGCUUUGUAAUAUUCUCCCCCGCCCUUAAGAAUGUACUUUGUACACCUAUCCCAAACCUAUAAGAACUAAUGAUAAUUCCACCACCCUCUGCUGACUCCUUUUUCGGACUCAACCCGCCUGCACCCAGGUAAGAUAAACAGCCUUGUUGCUCACACGAAGCCUGUUUGGUGGACUCUCUUCACACGUUUUCGAGCUGUUUUCUGACUAAAGUACUUGUGGUCAUGGUGGAGGUCCUUCAUUACCAGGGGCCCACAUCAUGACCAACUGGAGGCGUGGCAAGUUUUUGUAAGAGAUCCAGGCAUGCCCCCUCCCCUGGCCUAAGUCCAGAAUUUUCCUAGAUGCCAAUCUCAGGGCCCUGCAUCCUAAAUACAAAAGUGGGCCAGGCGCAAAGGGUCACGCCUAUAAUCCCACCAUUUUGGGAGGCCGGGGCAGGAGGAUUGCUUGAGCCUGAGAGUUCGAGACCAGCCUGGGCAACGUAGAAGGACCUCCAUUUCUAAAAAAAAAAAAAAAAAAUUUGCCGAGUGUGGUGGCACGUUCCUGUACCCCAGCUACUCGGGAGGUUGAGGCUGCGGUGAGCUGUGAUCAUGCCACUGCACUCCAGCCUGGGUGACAGAGUGAGACCCUCUCUCAAAAAAUACAUCCAUAUAUAUAUAUAUCCAUUUCCAUACGUUCUUAUAAUGGCAUAUACUCAGUAAAAAUGUAUAAAAUUUUUACUAGUUGACUACUUUUACCCAGCUUCACAUUUUAUAUAAUUUAUAUAAAAUAAGAAACCAAUAACAUUUUAAUGAAAAAAAUAAUAAAAAUAUGCCAGAGGUGUAUGCCCUGUCUUUAUUAGAGUAUAUAUGGAUUUUGGUUACCCAUACUUUUGGUGGGACUUAAUAAAUGUGAAAAAAAUGUAAAUCAGUGUGUAUAGAUACUUGGAGUCAAUAAAUUUUAAAUCAUGUUUGUUAUAUUCUGUAUCAACUUUUACUCCUCAACCCAUUUCUAAUACUGAAUAUUUUUAUCAAAGGAGCUGGGGUGUUUCAAGACAGGGGGAGACACGGUGUAUAAUCAGAAAACUCUUCUGCUUCCCCUUCACACUUGCUCUAUGCAUAGUUCUGUAUCCUGCAUGAAAUCUCUUGCAGAUCCUUUCACUUUUCAAGUAUUUUUCAGUCAUGACAGUAGUCAUAUUGCAGUAGAAAAUAUAUAGUACAGAACAAAACUUUAAACUUUAUUCAGGCUAAAGGUUCUCCCCUACCCCUGCUUUUACCUGCUUCAGACUUGAAGCUUGCUAUAUUAAAAGUGGUAUGGUAGGUUUCUCCACAUCCCUGCCUUUGCUCCUCAAAGUUUGCUCCUCCUCUCCCACUGGCUAGCUGCUAUUUCUGACCCCCUCCUCCCAGGAGGAGAAGGGAUUGAAGGGAAAGAACACAGACUUUCCUGGUUAGUGCAGGAUGCUGUUACCUUCCAAAAUCGGUUCCCUAUGGACAAGGAGGAAUCACAAAUGUUGGCUUUUCUCUCUUAUGCACCUUUGUGGGCUUUUUUAGAACUCUCUUGCUGGCAGUGGUCCUCCUCUGGUUCACUGUCUAUGACUCCCCUCCCCCAAGUCUUUGGCCUUCUGGAGGAGGUUUACCCCAUGUAAAACUCAC
rnacentral:lncRNA from 1 species